rnacentral:rRNA from 1 species
AUCCUGGCUCAGGAUGAACGCUGGCGGCGUGCUUAACACAUGCAAGUCGAACGGAGAACCCCUGAACGAGUUUUCGGACAAGUGAUGGGAAUUCUUAGUGGCGGACGGGUGAGUAACGCGUCGAGGAACCUGCCUUGGAGAGGGGAAUAACACAGAGAAAUUUGUGCUAAUACCGCAUGAUGCAGUUAUAUCGCAUGGUAUUGACUGCCAAAGAUUUUAUCGCUCUGAGAUGGCCUCGCGUCUGAUUAGCUUGUUGGCGGGGUAACGGCCCACCAAGGCGACGAUCAGUAGCCGGACUGAGAGGUUGGCCGGCCACAUUGGGACUGAGACACGGCCCAGACUCCUACGGGAGGCAGCAGUGGGGAAUAUUGGGCAAUGGGCGCAAGCCUGACCCAGCAACGCCGCGUGAAGGAAGAAGGCUUUCGGGUUGUAAACUUCUUUUAUGUAGGACGAAACAAAUGACGGUACUACAUGAAUAAGCUCCGGCUAACUACGUGCC